GUCGAGCGGAUUGAUGGGAGCUUGCUCCCGUCAGUCAGCGGCGGACGGGUGAGUAACACGUGGGUAACCUGCCUGUAAGACUGGGAUAACUCCGGGAAACCGGGGCUAAUACCGGAUAACUCAUUUCCUCGCAUGAGGAAAUGUUGAAAGGUGGCUUUUAGCUAUCACUUACAGAUGGACCCGCGGCGCAUUAGCUAGUUGGUGAGGUAACGGCUCACCAAGGCGACGAUGCGUAGCCGACCUGAGAGGGUGAUCGGCCACACUGGGACUGAGACACGGCCCAGACUCCUACGGGAGGCAGCAGUAGGGAAUCUUCCGCAAUGGACGAAAGUCUGACGGAGCAACGCCGCGUGAGUGAUGAAGGUUUUCGGAUCGUAAAACUCUGUUGUUAGGGAAGAACAAGUACCGUUCGAAUAGGGCGGUACCUUGACGGUACCUAACCAGAAAGCCACGGCUAACUACGUGCCAGCAGCCGCGGUAAUACGUAGGUGGCAAGCGUUGUCCGGAAUUAUUGGGCGUAAAGCGCGCGCAGGUGGUUCCUUAAGUCUGAUGUGAAAGCCCACGGCUCAACCGUGGAGGGUCAUUGGAAA
rnacentral:rRNA from 1 species